rnacentral:rRNA from 1 species
GACGAACGCUGGCGGCGUGCCUAAUACAUGCAAGUAGAACGCAGUUGCGAACGGGUGAGUAACGCGUAGGUAACUGCCUGGUAGCGGGGGAUAACUAUUGGAAACGAUCGCUAAUACCGCAUACCACCAGAUGGUCGUGCGUGGUAUUAGCUAGUUGGUGGGGUAACGGCUCACCAAGGCAACGAUACAUAUCCGAACUGAGAGGGUGAUCGGCCACACUGGGACUUGGACCCGGCCCAGGCACCUACGGGAGGCAGCAGGAGGGAAUCUUCGGCAAUGGACUGAAGUCUGACCGAGCAACGCAGCGGUAAUGAAUAAGGUUUUCGGAUCGUAAAGCUCUGUUGUAAAAGGAGCGGUAUCUAACCAGAAAGGGACGGCUAACUACGUGCCAGCCGCCGCGGUAAUAC